CCUACGGGGGGCUGCAGUAGGGAAUAUUGGGCAAUGGGCGGGAGCCUGACCCAGCCAUGCCGCGUGGAGGAUGAAGGCGCUCAGCGUUGUAAACUCCUUUUAUCUGGGAAGAACGGCAGGCCUGUGGGCUUGUGUGACGGUACCAGAGGAAUAAGCACCGGCUAACUCCGUGCCAGCAGCCGCGGUAAUACGGAGGGUGCGAGCGUUGUCCGGAUUUAUUGGGUUUAAAGGGUGCGUAGGUGGCUUCUUAAGUCUGGUUUGAAAGCUGGUGGCUC
rnacentral:rRNA from 1 species